rnacentral:lncRNA from 1 species
CUCUCUUCCCUGCUGCCAUGCAAGAUGUGACUUUGCUUCUCAUUCGCCUUCCACCAUGAUUGUGAGGCCUCCCAAGCCAUGUGGAACUAUAAAGGAAACCUCUUUCCUUUAUAAACUACCCAGUUUCGGGCAUGCAGAGAAGCCUCUGUUCUCUCUGCCGCGCUGUGGCGUCUCACCUAGACACCUGGCCCCUGAAGCAGAGAUCUGUCUGCUGCCACCACAGCUCCUCUCUCCAGACUGUUCAGAUCUGGUCCCUGUAGGAUGGAAGUGCACACACUGUCUCUGCCUGUCCCCAGGGAGCAAGAUGUAAACUUCCUCCUUCAUCAUUCGGGCAAAAACUGAAUAAAUAGAUGAACACCAAAUUAUGGAAAUCUUCAUUAUGCAGGCCAGGUUGCCAAACAUGCCCAGACCUGCUUAAGCUGAGAAGU